UCCAGUUGAUCCUGCUGGAGGCUGCCGCUAUUAGAAUUCGAUUAAGCCAUGCAAGUCACAGGGCCUUCGGGUACCUGGCGAACCGCUCAGUAACACGUGGACAACUUGCCCUUGAGUGGAAAAUAACCUCGGGAAACUGAGGACAAUGUUCCAUAGGUGAUUGAUACUGGAAUGUUCCUUCACUAAAAGUUCCGGCGCUCAAGGAUAGGUCUGCGGCCGAUUAGUUUGUGGGUAAUGUAAUGGAUCACCUAGGCGAUAAUCGGUAUGGGUUGUGAGAGCAAUAGCCCAGAGAUGGACUCUUAGACACUAGUCCAAGCCUUACGGGGCGCAGCAGGCGCGAAACCUUUACAAUGCACGAAAGUGUGAUAAGGGAAUUCUAAGUGCACUUGUACCACAAGUGCUUUUCAGAAGUGUAAAUUACUUCUGGAAUAAGGGGUGGGUAAGACCAGUGCCAGCCGCCGCGGUAACACUGGCACCUCAAGUGGCAGUCGUUUUUAUUGGGCUUAAAGCGUUUGUAGCCGGCUUAGUGUGUUCUUGGUGAAAUCUGUCUGCUUAACAGAUAGGCUUGCUGGGAGUACUGCUAGGCUUGAGGACGGGAGAGGCUAGAGGAACUUCUUGGGUAGGGGUGAAAUCCUAUAAUCCUUGAAGGACCAACAGUGGCGAAAGCGUCUAGCAUGCACGUGCCUGACGGUGAGAAACGAAAGCUAGGGUGGCGAAACGGAUUAGAUACCCGUGUAGUCCUAGCCGUAAACGAUGUGGACUAGGUGGAGUGUGACUCUAGUGGUCAUGCUAUGCCGAAGAGAAAUCGUUAAGUCUACCGCCUGGGGAGUACGUUCGCAAGAAUGAAACUUAAAGGAAUUGGCGGGGGAGCACUACAAGGGGUGGAAGCUGCGGUUUAAUUAGAUUCAACGCUGGGCAACUCACCAGAAGCGACAGCAGAAUGAAGGCCAGGCUGAAGGUCUUGCCGAACGCGCUGAGAGGAGGUGCAUGGCCGCCGUCAGCUCGUGCCGUGAGGUGUUCGGUUAAGUCCGAAAACGAGCGAGACCCAUAUCUUUAGUUGCUAUUUGUUCCAUUGGAAUGAAGUACACUAAAGAGACUGCCCGCUAUAAGUGGGAGUAAGGCGUGGGCAACGGUAGGUCCGCAUGCCCCGAAUCCUCUGGGCUACACGCGGCUUACAUUGGCCAGUACAACGAGUUGCAACCCCGAAAGGGGGAGCUAAUCUCUAAAACUGGUCUAGGUACGGAUUGUGGGUUGUAACUCACCCACAUGAAGCUGGAAUCCCUAGUAAUCGCAAUUCAUUAUGUUGCGGUGAAUACGUCCCUGCUCCUUGCACACACUGUCCGUCACUCCAACCAAGCAGGGUUUGGAUGAGGCCUAGUCUUCGGAUUAUGUCGAAUCUUAGUUCUGUGAGGGGGGAGAAGUCGUAGCAAGGUA
rnacentral:rRNA from 1 species